CCUACGUGAGGCUGCAGUGAGGAAUAUUGGUCAAUGGGCGAGAGCCUGAACCAGCCAAGUCGCGUGAGGGAAGACGGUCCUAUGGAUUGUAAACCUCUUUUGUCGGGGAGCAAAAAGGCCUCGUGAGGCCACAAGUUAGAGUACCCGAAGAAAAAGCAUCGGCUAACUCCGUGCCAGCAGCCGCGGUAAUACGGAGGAUGCGAGCGUUCUCCGGAUUUAUGGGGUUUAAAGGGUGCGUAGUCGGACUGGAAAGUCAGCGUUAAAAUCGGGGGGGUAAACCUCUUUCCGCCGUUGAAACUGGCAGUCUUGAGUGUGCGAGAGGUAGGCGGAAUGCGUGGUGUAGCGGUGAAAUGCAUAGAUAUCACGCAGAACUCCGAUUGCGAAGGCAGCAUACCGGCGCCCGACUGACGCUGAGGCACGAAAGCGUGGGUAUCGAACAGGAUUAGAUACCCCAGUAGUC
rnacentral:rRNA from 1 species